rnacentral:rRNA from 1 species
GAUGAACGCUGGCGGCGUGCCUAAUACAUGCAAGUCGAGCGAACAGACGAGGAGCUUGCUCCUCUGACGUUAGCGGCGGACGGGUGAGUAACACGUGGAUAACCUACCUAUAAGACUGGGAUAACUUCGGGAAACCGGAGCUAGUACCGGAUAAUAUAUUGAACCGCGUGGUUCAAUAGUGAAAGACGGUUUUGCUGUCACUUAUAGAUGGAUCCGCGCCGCAUUAGCUAGUUGGUAAGGUAACGGCUUACCAAGGCAACGAUGCGUAGCCGACCUGAGAGGGUGAUCGGCCACACUGGAACUGAGACACGGUCCAGGCUCCUACGGGAGGCAGCAGUAGGGAAUCUUCCGCAAUGGGCGAAAGCCUGACGGAGCAACGCCGCGUGAGUGAUGAAGGUCUUCGGAUCGUAAAACUCUGUUAUUAGGGAAGAACAAAUGUGUAAGUAACUAUGCACGUCUUGACGGUACCUAAUCAGAAAGCCACGGCUAACUACGUG